AAGCAAAAGGCAAAGACAACUCAAUUCCCAAAAAUUGUUCUCACUUCUUAAAGGUUGCCGAAGCUCGCACGGAGGAUGGACUGUGGAAGAAGAUCGGGCGACUGAGGAAGAGUUUCACACGGAGGAUGGGCGGCCGAAGCUCGACGGUGCCAUGUUAAUUGGCAUCGUCAAUUUCCAUCUCGGCUAACCCCAUCACAGCCCAAUUCGGACUGUUGUCACAUCAUCGUUCCUACUUCAAUACUUCAAUCAGCCCACACAUACGGAAUUUCAUGACAAUAUUGGUGAUUUAGAUGGACCAGAAGAGAGAGCGAGCAAAAGAUUCAAAGGUUUAUUUCAGCCUUUCAGCCUUUUGAUUUCUUAGGUUGUAGACUAAACUUGUGCCAAAGUGAAGGUAGUUCUGCUGAAAGUAAUGAGACUAUGAGAGACAUGUUUGUUUCAUUGUAAAAUGUUCCACCGUUUACAUUCAAAGUAAUCUUUUUAUGAACUUCCAUUCUUUGGAGCUAAUUUUGUAAGUCUUGUGAGAA